UGUUCACCAAAAACAUAGGUCUCCGCAAAGUCGUAAUACCAUGUCUGGGGGCUGAUGCCUGCCUAGUGCCGGAUGGUCAAGGAAGUUGGUGAACUGAUAGCGGCGAAGCCGGCGACCGAAGCUCCGAUAAACAACGGCGGGAUGAAUUUCGCUAGAGGCU
rfam:Triticum urartu cultivar G1812 contig1224306, whole genome shotgun sequence.